rnacentral:rRNA from 1 species
CAGUCGAACGAUGACGGUGGUGCUUGCACCGCCUGAUUAGUGGCGAACGGGUGAGUAACACGUGAGUAACCUGCCCUCCACUUCGGGAUAACCUCGGGAAAUCGUGGCUAAUACCGGAUAUGAGCACUCAUCGCAUGGUGGGUGUUGGAAAGAUUUAUCGGUGGGGGAUGGACUCGCGGCCUAUCAGUUUGUUGGUGAGGUGAUGGCUCACCAAGACGAUGACGGGUAGCCGGCCUGAGAGGGCGACCGGCCACACUGGGACUGAGACACGGCCCAGACUCCUACGGGAGGCAGCAGUGGGGAAUAUUGCACAAUGGGCGAAAGCCUGAUGCAGCGACGCCGCGUGGGGGAUGACGGCCUUCGGGUUGUAAACCCCUUUCAGUAGGGAAGAAGCGAAAGUGACGGUACCUGCAGAAGAAGCGCCGGCUAACUACGUGCCAGCAGCCGCGGUAAUACGUAGGGCGCAAGCGUUGUCCGGAAUUAUUGGGCGUAAAGAGCUUGUAGGUGGCUUGUCGCGUCUGCCGUGAAAACCCGAGGCUCAACCUCGGGCGUGCGGUGGGUACGGGCAGGCUAGAGUGUGGUAGGGGAGACUGGAACUCCUGGUGUAGCGGUGAAAUGCGCAGAUAUCAGGAAGAACACCGAUGGCGAAGGCAGGUCUCUGGGCCAUUACUGACACUGAGAAGCGAAAGCAUGGGUAGCGAACAGGAUUAGAUACCCUGGUAGUCCAUGCCGUAAACGUUGGGCACUAGGUGUGGGGGACAUUCCACGUUUUCCGCGCC